GACGAACGCUGGCGGCGUGCUUAACACAUGCAAGUCGAACGGAAAGGCCCUGCUUUUGUGGGGUGCUCGAGUGGCGAACGGGUGAGUAACACGUGAGUAACCUGCCCUUGACUUUGGGAUAACUUCAGGAAACUGGGGCUAAUACCGGAUAGAAGCUCCUGCUGCAUGGUGGGGGUUGGAAAGUUUCGGCGGUUGGGGAUGGACUCGCGGCUUAUCAGCUUGUUGGUGGGGUAGUGGCUUACCAAGGCUUUGACGGGUAGCCGGCCUGAGAGGGUGACCGGCCACAUUGGGACUGAGAUACGGCCCAGACUCCUACGGGAGGCAGCAGUGGGGAAUAUUGCACAGUGGGCGGAAGCCUGAUGCAGCAACGCCGCGUGCGGGAUGACGGCCUUCGGGUUGUAAACCGCUUUCGCCUGUGACGAAGCGUGAGUGACGGUAAUGGGUAAAGAAGCACCGGCUAACUACGUG
rnacentral:rRNA from 1 species